CACGCUGUAAACGAUGGAUACUAGGUGUAGGAGGUAUCGACCCCUUCUGUGCCGGAGUUAACACAAUAAGUAUCCCACCUGGGGAGUACGAUCGCAAGGUUGAAACUCAAAGGAAUUGACGGGGGCCCGCACAAGCAGUGGAGUAUGUGGUUUAAUUCGAAGCAACGCGAAGAACCUUACCAGGACUUGACAUCCAAUGAAUCCUAUAGAGAUAUGGGAGUGCCUUUUGGAACAUUGAGACAGGUGG
rnacentral:rRNA from 1 species